CCCAUGCUGUUCUUCUUUUUUUUUUGUUUUUUUAAUUUUUUUUUCUCCAUUCGUUCCAUAACUUCAUAAUGGAAUUUGGAAGAGGGGGAAGAAAUAAUUAUGAGAUAAUAGCCUUCCAAAUCUUGCUGGUGAAAUCACAAUUAAGAAACAAACGAUCUGUUGUCUCUUCUGCAUUGCCACAGAGAAUACAUUUAAAGAUAGCUUGUCCAUUUCUCCUCCGAAGAUUUUCUACAGUGAGAAGCUUUUUAUGAUAUACAAGCUAGUUAAAAGUUUUGACUUUCUUUGAAAUCGGUAGCUUCCAAUUGAAUUUUCCAAAGUGUGACACCACUCAUCCAUGCAUGAAAAAAGAGUAACCAUGUUUUGCUUUAAAAUCUUUUGAACUAUCCUAUUUCCACUUUACUUUGUCUUCUCCGUUUGUAAGAACUAUUCCAUCA
rnacentral:lncRNA from 1 species